UCAAUUUCUGCAAAUAGCAUUUUAUUCUUCUUGGAGCGAAUUCGGCUAAUUCCUUUUUCUAAUUUACUCUCUAGGUUUCUGAGUUCCUUACCAUUCAUAUUGCUCAAGGCUUCACCCAUCAUUUGCCUGUUAUGAUUAUGCAAAUUACUGAUUUGCACUCGCAGUUUCGCGGCUUCUUGCUGAUAACAUUGAGCAUUAGUCUCAAAAGCUGAUUUAGCACCAGAAGUAUCAGAACAUGCUUUAUUAUACCUCUCAAUAGAAGCUUUCACACAUUUAGUUUCAUAUUCAUAGAGACGGCCACGAGUCGAAAAAACUAUAAGAGCAACUUCUGCAUCGCAAAGCACAAAUAACUCAUAUGCCUUCUUAAGCAAGCCAUUUCUACGUUUGCAGAAGGUAACUUGGAGAUUUGUUGUUUUUUCAAUCCUCUUGAUCUCAAUCUUUCCCCUUCCAAUCUUUCUCUAAGGAGAAUCAGACAUGGAUUCAUUUGGAAAACUCAUAGUUGCAAGCUUAUUAAGGACAAUUACACAGAUUAUAAUCUUUGAAGUAGAAUAUAUAAAUGCUCUAUCUUCUUUUCAACUUUGUAGAACAAAGAGAUAUAAGAAAAAGAAAGAAAAGAAAUGGUAUUUAUAAAGUGAAAAACCACCUUUUUUCUCUCCAUUAUUCUCCUUCCAUUCAACUAUAUCAUCACUACCCUUAGCCAAAUCAACUUCAUCCUCAUACAAAACUGAACCGUUUCUUCUACCCAAAACUCUUAUGUCACCCACUCACGGUAACAUCACCCUCUCCACGCAGUGCCGAAUACCUGUUUUGCUUAUAACCAAACUUUCCCAUUGUUACGCCUUUUUUAACAUCAUUAUUGCAGGUUUUGGGUACUACUACCCCGUCCUUGUUGAAUUCAAAUUCCACUUCACAAUCACGCAAAUUAAUUUUUUCAUCCUUCUUCUAAUCAUUAAUGACAGAGUCGUUAAAACGAGAAGGAAGAACCUGAACUCGCCCUCUCGAAGUCCUAACCAACGGCGGUAGCUGAACCUGAUUUUUCUUCACGGGAACCAUCUCCUCCUUGGAGUUUGACUUAAUUUCACCGGGGAGCACGGAUGAUGAAUUGGAACAAAAAAAUGAAAAAUGGAUUGAAAUUGGACACACGGACGAAAACCAUGAGGUUCACUUGAUUCUACCAAAUGAAAGAGUUUUCCAAUCUUGCAUGACUAGGGAGAUUAAUCAUCUUAUAUCAAAAAUAAAAAACAAGGCCCAAAAGACAAACAUGGACUGGUCGUGGUAGCGAGUCCAACAACAAACGUUGGUGGGUAGCAUCACGACCAGAUGGAAUGGUCACGAAAAAAAGAAUGCAAACAAAUGAUUGAUGGGAAAAAAUUUCAGGGCCAAAAUCAGGGUAUGACAGUUGCCCCUAUUUAAACAUCCUCCACCAGAGGAAAAUGAAACGACACUUUUUCAUCGGAUCAUAGUGGGGGAUGGUUAAAUACCAUGGAGACCCAGAUUUUGAUCCUUAAAAAUGAAAAUGCUAUGAUAUGAUAUGCAUGGGUGAAAGACUUUAUUUCUGAAUUUAUCUAUUAGGCACACAGUGAAUCCUUAACAGGAGAUGUUACCAGACAGACCCAUCUGUGGGGAAUGCUGAUGGCACACAGAGAAACAGAAACAACAGGCUAAAACAAACCGCUGGGGAUAACAAUCUUGCUGGAGAGUCCGACACACACCGGGGAGUACUCAAAGUGAAAGUUGACAAACGACACUUAGAAUACAAGAGAUUUCGUCAGCAGGUUCAGACACCACAUGAAGACAACUUGCAUAUUUUCUACGAGAAUUCCCACAAUAGGUUCAUACAUGGCCUGACAACACUGGAAUCAUCAAAGAAAAAGGCUAUUCAAAGCAGGUUCAAACCUGACCUGGUAAUACUUGAAUAAAAGUUCAGCAAUAGGUUCCUACAUGACCUGACAAUGCUGGGGAAUAUCAAAAAGUUCUGACAGCAGGUUCAGACAUGACCUGACAACACUAGAAAAAUUCAAAAAGCGUAUAUCAACGGGUUCACACAUGACCUGACGACACUUUGAACAUUCUUGACAAAUCCGGAGAUUUCUCACAAGAAAAUCAUCCAAUCAAAAAUUAUGGAAAUUACUAUCAAUGAAAGAGUCAAAAUGACCACUUUCCAGGAAGUUCCAGUUACACUUGGACUUUAAGGGCGCUGGUGACGACCAGACUCAAAGCUACCAUUUACAAAUGGAUUUGACAGAUGCUGGUGACAACCAUACUUUAAAAGGAUACUAGUUACAACUGGAUUUGACAAAGGCUGGUGAUAACCAGACUUUAAACUGAUACCAGUUAUAACUGGAUUUGACAGAUGCUGGUGACAACCAGACUUUAAAAGGAUACCAGUUACAACUGGAUUUCAAAAAAUGUGCGCCAGUUACAACUGGACUUAACAGACAAUGCCAAUAACAAUUGGACUUACAAAUAAAUAUGGUUAUAACCAGACUUAUCAGACCAUUUACAAAUGGAUUUUAAGACAGUGCUAGUUACAACUCUGAUUGGGGAUACCAAUUACAAUUGGAUUUACAAUAAGAUGCUGGUGACAACCAGAUUUUACAGAGCCACUAGUUACAACUGGAUUUUAACAUUCGAGCGCCAGUUACAACUGGACUUAACAGAUAAUGCCAAUAACAAUUGGACUUGCCGACAAUGCUGGUUACAACCAGAUUUAUCGUACCAUUGACAAAUGGAUUUUACAGAUACUAGUGACAACCAGACUUUAAAAUGAGAUUUGUUAUAAUUGGACUUCCAGGAUGCUGGUAAUGACCAGACUUAAAGAUACCAUUUAAAGAUGGAUUAGACAGACGCUGGUGACAACCAGACCUUAGAAGGAUACCAAUUACAACUGGAUUUGAUCAAAGACGCUGGUGACAACCAGACUUCACAAACGACACCAGUAACAAAUGGUCUUAGAGGUCCAGGGAUAAAAAUUAACAACGAGACCCAUGAUUAUGCAAAUGAGCAUGAAGCACUUCAGGCUAGACAUGAUUUGGAUUUUGCUUAUGUGCAUGAUGUAUGAAUGAUCACGAUAUGCAAAUGCUGACAAUAUACAUACUGGAAAUUAGGGAAAGCUUUAUGGAGGUACUGAAUCCUCAACACCAACAACUCAACCAAAUGAGUGAGUAAUUGCAUCAAAGGAGGAUCUAUCAAGCUGAACAGUUACAACUAGCCCAAUAAUCCUUUUAGAGAAUGAUAACUUUAAGCUCUCUGGAGAUAUAUGUAAAUCAUCCAAGAGAAGUCUUGCAACUUGAGAUUUGUGGGGAAAGACGAAUGGUUUCCUUUUUAAUAUUUCCACAUGGCAAAGCAAAAUUGUGUUUCUCAAUAUGUUGAAAAAUUCUUUUUGAGUUCAAAAUUUCAUAAUUAAUAAAUAAAUGGCAUUUUGCAUAACAAAGAAAAUCAGAGAAAAACAGCAAAUGAUAGAAUUUGAUAGGCAAACUUGUAUAUAUUCAAGAAUGGUAGCACAGAAAUGGUGUAGCUCCAUGGAAUGUUGCACAUUUGCAAAUGGCAAUAGGGAAAGGUUUACAUUGAAUUGCAAUUACUACUACUAUCCCUAAUAACAAUGAUUCCACAAAACCUCGCUUCCGAAGGGAGCAGUUGAGUUGAUCUUCCACUUUUAGCUCUUUUGUGUUGAUUAGUGACAACUGAUGCAGUCUAUGCGUUUUGUCCUUAAUUUUUUCCUGGAUCGCCCUUUCGGGUUUUCAAUCCAUCGGGAUGCUCUUUUUGCCUAAGUCGCCUUUCCAGGUUUUCAACUUAGCGAGCUACCAUUUUUUUUAUCCCUAACUUUUGCUUGGACCGCCCUUUCGGGUUUUCAGUCCACCGGGUUUUGUUAGGCAUAGUAUCUUUUGACUGCAUCAGAGUUCACAGGGUGAAUGAGCUAUUCUCCAUCCAUAAUUGUGAGAAAUAGAGCACCUCUAGAGUAUGCUCUUUUUACAACGUAUAGGCCUUCAUAGUUGGGAGUCCACUUCCCACGUGAAUCUUUGUGUACUGGCAAGAUCUUCUUGAGCACGAGAUCCCCUUCCUUGAACUCUCGAGGACGGACCUUUUUGUCAAACGCUUUCUUGAUUCGUUGCUGGUACUAUUGUGCAUGGCACAGAGCGGUCAUACGCUUCUCAUUAAUGAGGUUAAGUUGAUCAUAGUUGUUUUGGAUCCAUUCAGCUUCGUCUAGCUUGGCCUCCAUCAAUAUUCUCAUUGAAGGUAUCUCAACUUCGACUGGGAGAACUGCUUCCAUCCCAUACACCAAGGAGAACGGGGUUUCCCCUGUUGAAGUGCAGACUGAGGUCCGGUAUCCAUGCAAAGCAAAGGGUAGCAUCUCGUGCCAAUCCUUAUAAGUUUUCACCAUCUUUUGCAGGAUCUUCUUGAUAUUUUUGUUGGUAGCUUCAACAACACCAUUCAUCUUUGGACGAUAUGGAGAAGAAUUGUGGUGGUUGAUCUUGAAACUCUCACAUAAUUCUGUCAUUGUCUUGUUGUUCAAGUUUAAACCGUUGUCUGUAAUGAUCUUGCUAGGGAUUCCAUAGCGGAAGAUAAUCUCCUUCUUGAUAAAGUGAGCAACCACAUGUCUCGUCACAUUGGUGUAGGAAGCAACCUCCACCCACUUAGUGAAGUAAUCGAUGGCAACCAGGAUGAAAUGAUGACCAUUGGAAGCCUUAGGCUCUAUAUCACCAAUCAUGUCGAUGCCCCAUAUUGAGAAGGGCCAAGGCGAUGUCAAAACAUUCAACAGUGUUGGUGGUACAUGCACUUUAUCAGCAUAAAUUUGGCAUUUAUGACAUUUACUUGCAUAGUUGAAACAAUCGGACUCCAUGGUCAACCAAUAAUUGCCAGCUCUCAAAAUCUUCUUGGCCAUGGCAUACCCAUUAGCAUGGGUUCCAAAGGAUCCUUCAUGAAUCUCCUUGAUCAACAGGUCUGCUUUGUGUCUAUCCACACAUCUGAGUAGAACCAUGUCAUGGUUUCUCUUGUAAAGCACAUCAUUGCUCAAAAAGAAUUUGGACGAUAACCUCCUCAGAUUUUUCUUAUCCAACAAUGUAGCAUCUUCUGGAUACUCUUGACUUAAAAGAUAUCGCUUGAUGUCAUGAAACCAUAGUUUACCAUCAGUUUCUUCUUCAAUCAGCUGACAGUAAGUAGGCUCAUCUCUACGCUCGAUUCAAAUAAGUGGAGCUUCAUUAUGAAAUCUGACUUGGUACAUUGAUGCUAAUGUUGCCAAAGCAUCAACCACUUGAUUCUCUACUCUUGGGAUGUGAUGGAAAGUGAUAUCAUCAAAGUAUUCUAUCAUCUUUACAACAUGAGCACGAUACGUGAUCAAAUUCGCAUCACGAGUCUCCCAUUCACCUUUGACUUGAUAGAUCACCAAGGCUGAGUCUCCAUACACUUCAAGGAUCUUGAUUCGAAGAUAAAUUGUGGCUUCAAGACCAAGGAUACAAGCUUCAUAUUCUGCGACAUUAUUCGUACAAUCAAAGCACAACUUUACUGUGAAAGGGGUAAAGCCACCAUUUGGAUUCAUCAAAAUAGCUCCCACACCAUUACCAUUGUAGUUGGAGGAACUGUCGAACGCGAGCUUCCAUCGGGAUCCUGGCUCCGGUCCUUCAUCUGGGCCUGGGAUCUCACAAUCCUUUAUCACCAUUAUAUCCUCUUCAGGGAAAUCAAACUUCAAUGGCUGAUAGUAUUCAACUGGUUGGUGAGCAAGAUACUCUGCUAAAACACUUCCCUUGAUUGCUUUCUGGGUUACGUACUGGAUGUCGUACUCCAACAAGAGCAUCUGCCAACGGGCAAGUCUUCCAGUUAAGGUAGGUUUCUCAAAGAUAUACUUUAUUGGAUCCAUCUUCGAGAUCAACAAAGUAGUAUGGUAAAUCAUGUACUGCCUCAAACGACGAGUGGCCCCUUCUAGCGCGCAACAAGUUUUCUCCAAAAGCGAAUAACGACUUUCACAAUCGGUAAACUUUUUACUCAGAUAGUAAGUAGCAUGUUCUUUCCGACCAGUUUCGUCAUGUUGCCCCAGCACGCAUCCCAUUGACCCUUCAAGCACAGUCGUAUACAUGAUUAAUGGCUUUCCUGGGACAGGUGGAAUUUAAAUAGGAGGCUAUUGCAAGUAUUGACGAAUCUUCUCAAAAGCACUUUGACAAUCAGAAUUCCAUUCGAUAGCUUGAUCCUUUCGAAGCAAUUUGAAGAUAGGCUCACACGUGGCUGUCAUAUGUGAGAUAAACCUUGAGACGUAAUUCAAACGUCCAAGGAAACCUCUAACUUCUCGCUCGGUGCAUGGAGCAGGCAUUUCUUGUAUAGCUCGGACCUUAUCGGGGUCCACCUCAAUUCCUCGUUGACUAACGAUGAAACCAUGCAACUUCCUUGAACGGACACCGAAUAUGCAUUUUGUAGGGUUUAAUCAUAAUCUAAACUUCCUGAGGCGUUCAAACAACUUCUUCAGAUGGCUCAUAUGAUCUUCUUCAUUCUAAGAUUUAGCGAUCAUGUCGUCAACAUAGACCUUUAUCUCCUUGUGCAUCAUAUCAUGGAAAAGAGUGACCAUAGCUCUUUGGUAAGUUGCCCCGACAUUUUUGAGACCGAAAGGCAUUACCUUGUAGCAAAAUGUGCCCCAAGGGGUAAUAAAAGUGGUCUUCUCCAUGUCAUCUGGAGCCAUCUUGAUUUGAUUAUAUCCAGAAAAACCAUCCAUAAAGGAGAAUACAACAAAACUUGCAGUGUUAUCUACCAGAGUAUCAAUGUGUGGUAGAGGGAAAUCGUCCUUUGGACUAGCUUUGUUCAGAUCCCUAUAGUCAACACACAUCCUCACCUUUCCAUCCUUUUUAGGCACAUGUACAAUAUUAGCUACCCAUUGUAGGUACUUCACCACUGCGAGGAAACCAACAUCAAAUUGUCGCUUGACUUUUUCACGAAUCUUCAGAGCCAUAUCUGGUCUUGUUCUUCGGAGUUUCUGUUUUACUGGCAUACAUUCUGGCUGAAGCGGAAGCUUGUGCUCAACGAUGUCGGUGUUUAGGUCUGGCAUAUCCUGGUAUGACCAUGCAAAUACAUCCACAUAUUCUUGUAGCAGCUUAACCAAUCUCUCUUUGAGGUUUGCUUCAAGCGUGGUGCCGACUUUGACUUCUUUCUUCUCUUCCUCUGUGCCAAUGUUGAUUGUUUCCAUCGGUUCUUCAUGUGGCUGAAGGGCUUUGGACUCGUGCUCGAGCAGCCUUGCCAAUUCGUCGGGGAUGUAACAAUCUUCUUCACCCUCUUCUUCCGCUUGGUAGAUAGGGGAGUUAAAGUUAUGAGAGGGAGUAAAGUCAUUGGAUUCAACGGGGUUAUCAUUUAUUCUGCAUGUUUGAAUGAUUGAUUUCUUUUAGAAAAGUAAAAAUAAAAGAUGCAUAAAUGAAAAGUUUUUUGUCUUUUUUUUUGUUUUUGAAAAGAUUGCCAUUUUCUUAAGAGAAAGCAAAAUAAAUGAAUAAUAAGAAUUUAACAAAAUGCCUUUCAUUCACUGAUAAUGAUUAUUUGAAAAUGAAAAGGGGCCAUACAACAUGAUCCAUUAGCCUUGGGAAGAGCUACGGAUUUGAAAGGAAAAAACAACAAUUAUUACUUUGACAAAGGAAAAUUUUUGGGGAUCUCAACCGCCUUCCAGUUGUUCAAAGCUGUCUCACACCGGUAAACCAAACAUGGUUCAUCUUCAUCUUCGGUGUUGUCUUCAAUUGCAUUGACUUAAUCUCCAUGGAUGAAUCCUGUGCUAAGGAAUACUUCCUGGAUGCUUCGGGUGCUGUCCUUUGCAAGGACUCGGCUCCUUUCACAGCGGAAGGCACAUAUCCCAGACCAAAGCGAUCAUGCUUCUCACGAAUAUCAAUAAGCUGACCCCAACCUUCAGGGUCUCCUCCUUCAAUGCUAGACUUUGCGCUUUUCAGAGAAGCGAAAGAUGAACAAGCUUUCCCAACCGGGUCCUUCAUCUCCACAAAAGUGGCAUUGGCUAUUUCAAGAGCUUGGAAAGAAGUUUCCAAAGCGUCGUCAUCAGCCUCGAUAUACCUGAAGGAUGAAAGGUGUCUGACCAUAAAGUCCUCCUCUCUAGAGAUAAUAAUCAGUUGAUUGUCCACCACAAACUUCAUUUUUUGAUGUAAAAUGGAGGUGACUGCCCCUACAACAUGAAUCCAAGGACGUCCCAGCAAGCAGCUAUACGCUGGAUUAAUAUCCAUGACUUGGAAAUUAAUCGGGAAUACAUGAGGUCCAAUCAAUAUGGGCAGUUCAACCUCUCCAAUCACGAUUCUCCUGGAACCAUCAAAAGCUUUCACUACCAAGGCACUAGGCCUCAUAGCUGGUCCUUGAUAAGAUAACUUGGCGAGUGUUCUCUUUGGCAUAACAUUCAAAGACGAUCCAGUAUCAACAAAAACUCUUGCCAAAGCAUCAUCUUUGCAUUUUACCAAGAUAUGGAGAGCACGAUUGUGAUUUUGUCCAUCCUCAGGUAAUUCCUCUCCACUAAAGCUCAAAGUAUUACAAGCUGUGAUAUUCGCAACCACCCCAUCAAACUAGUCUACUAUUAUGUUUUGUGUUACAUGAGCUUGGGCAAGCACCUUCAACAAAGCCUCCCUAUGGGCUUGGGAGUUCAAUAGCAGAGACAAAAUAGAGAUCUUAGAGGGUGUCUGAUGCAGCUGAUCCACCACUUUGUAAUCAUUCCUCUUGAUCAACCUCAAGAAUUCAACCGCAUCUUCAGACUGGACCGCUUCAGGUUCUUUAGUGGGAGCUGCAACUGUAGAUUCCUUGGUCGGCGCUUGAGGAGUCACAUUGAAUUCAGACGUAUAAAUUCGACCACUACGGGUCAUUCUGCUCAUCCUUGCAAUAUUGGUGACAUCCUCACUUAUAGCUUCUGUCACUUCAACGUUUGCACUUCCUUCAACAACCUUGUCCACAACGGUAAUCUCAUAUUUCCAAGGCACAACCUUGGUGUUCUCAUAUGGAAAAUGCAUAGGCAUACAUAUCUCAACAGGCGACGGCUAACCAUUCAUAGGAACCACUCCACCACUAUAAUAUGGGAUCUCAACUGGUUCAGGUAAAUUGAAACAAGGUUCAAUUACCAACACGUCUUCGUUUUUUAUAACGCUGGAGAUCUGAAGCACUCCUUUAUUUAUCAAGUCUUGAAUGUUAUCUCAUACCACUUGACAUCCCCUUGGGUAUGCCGCACACUCUUCACACUUGUCAUGGCGAACAUUAAUCAGGCCAGCUUGCACCAAUCGGGCAUGGAAUGCUGCCAAAGGAGUCUUAACAUCAUCCACCUUAUCAACCGUAACACCAACAAAGGCAUCUUCAAUGGCAUUUACUGUAGGAUCUCCAUGGGGAGGAAGAGGAUUGUUCUUCAUAUUCGGUCCCAUAUCCUUAAAAGACAGGAUCUUGCUUUCAAUCAGUUCACGAACCCUAUGCUUCAGAACGUAACAACCCUCUAGGUCAUUGUUGAAAAGUAUAUCUUCGGCAAAUAUUUUUUUAUCGUAUCCACAGAGAUUGGUUGUUAUUACCGCCGUUCUAUAAUCCAAAUUGUUAUAAGUUUAGAAAGUAACCAAGAACAAAACAAACCUUUCAAUAGAAAAACUCAUUUUACAGUGUAAAACAAUAAAAUGGUUUUAAUCAAAUGUAAAAGCUUGGCAAGAUUGGAGUUCACUAUUCCAAGUGCUUAUGAUUCAUUAUGAUAACUAUAUAGAUUUAAGAUUAUUGAUGAUGUUCAAGUAUCCUCUCAAUGUCAUUUAUGUCUAAAUGACAUUGUGAUAAUCACUAUAUUGAUCCUUAGACGAUCUCUCCACCUAACUAUCAAUAUAGAAAUCUUUAAUGGUUGAUACCAAAGAAGAGUAAUGAAUAAAUCUAUCUCUACAACUUAUUCACUACUUGAAAAUCUAUUUUAUGUCAAGAUUUAAAUAAUCUCUUUCAACAACUAUUCAAAUCUGAUAUUCAGCUUAGGGCAAAAAUAUCAUUCAAUACAUCAACAAUCUUUUAUCAUAUAUAUAAAUCAAAUGGAAUACAUAAAAAAUGAGAAUAGCUACUACCUCCAAUCUUUACAAAAUGGGGUUUAGCUCCUCAUCAUCAUUUUCAAAAGCAAUAGGCAAUGGAAGAAAACUCUGUUUUUUCCUCUUACAAAAUAUCAAAGUAUCAAUGUGUGAAUGUGCUAGAAUGAAUAUCAAUUUCCAUUCUGAUUUUCUAAAAAGGGUUGACAUUUCCUAAAAUGAUCAUUUUCAUCCAAAGUAGAAAAGCUCCCCUAAGGCAGACACCAAAAUGGCAAAACCAGCUGGUCAUGAAAAAUAACACCCUUGGCCCAAAAACAGCUUGCUAGAUUCGCAAGCUUCGCGGCGCGAACUGAAGCUAUCUCAGCUUCCUUGCUUUGCAAGCUUCAUCCAAAGAGUCUUCCAAGUGGUAUUCUUCCAAGUUAGGCUUCCAAAUUGCAUUCAACACUUCUUUAAAUUUAUGAUUGUGCAUUCCAAAGCUCUCUUGCCCAAAAAUUCUACAAAACUAACAAAUAUGUGAAAUAGCCAUUCAAAACAACAUAAAUUAAACAGGAUUGCAUUUAUACAAAAUAGUGAGAAUAAAAUGUGUAAUUACAUCAAAACUUGGUAAAAGGGACCAAUAAAUUGAUAUAAAAAGUAGUAUUAAUUGGUCCCUAACAGUCAUGCCCGGGGGCACCUUCAUGGAAAGAACAGUAUGCAUUAGGGUUGUACCAUGGAGGCAGACGAUCAGGUGGAGGUCCCAUAGGUCUAGGAACCACCAAACCCUUUUGUAACAAGGAGGGAUAAAGCUUAGUGUACGACAUUGGGAUUGGAUUGAAGGUCGCCCUAUCCCCUUGCCUCCUAUUCUGGUUCAAAGCAUUUUACCUUGGAGCUUGAGCUCUCGGCUGUUGAUAUACAGGAGCUGCUGGUGCUUGUUGAUAAGCUGGAGGAACCGCAACACGUUGAACUGGAGCUGGUCGAUAAACUAGAGGCCCUUGAUAAGCCUGAGUAGUCUGUUGAUUGAAUGCAGGCAUCACAGCAGCUACGUACGGUUGUCGGGCGUACUGAACGGGAUACAUGGGUUGCUGAUAGGGAAAGGGUUGUUGAACAUACUGUUGUGGUGAAUAUUAUUAUGGUCUCCUCCUUGGAGGGGCUCUUCCUUGGCCAAUAGUCACAACAUUCGUUUCCCCUUCCUUCUUUCUGAGAAACCCUCCAGAGAACUUCUUUGGAUUAGCAUUUGAAGUUCUAGCUACAGCCGCAAGUUUGCCAUUUCUUAAACCAUAUUCGACCCGAGCCCUUAUAGAAACAAGCUCGGAGAAUCCCAAGGAAGCACUUCCAACCAUCUUCUCAUAGAAUUGGGGUUGGACAGUGUCGAUGAAUAGUUCAGCCAAUUCCUUCUCAGCUAAAGGUGGUUCAACUUGAGAAGCCAGUUCCCUCCAUCUUUGAGCAUAUUCCUUGAAGGACUCCUUGUCAUGCUGGAACAUGCUUUGCAACUGUCUUCUGUCAGAUGCCAUGUCCAUGUUGUAUUUGUAGUGUUUUAUGAACGCGUCUGACAGGUCUUGGAAACACCUGAUCCUAUUCUGAUCCAGACUUAAAUACUACUUGGAAGGAGCCCCAAUUAAGCUAUCUUGAAAACAAUGGAUCAUCAGCUUGUCGUCUUCCACGUGUGCAGCCAUUUUUCGGUAAUACAUGAUGAGAUGGCUCUUUGGACAAGUAUGCCCCUUGUAUUUGUCAAAGUCUGGAGUUUUGAAUUUGGCCGGAAUCACCAACCCAAAUACCAGGCACAUUUCUUUGGCGGCAGAUCCAAAGACGUGGUCUCCUUCUAAAUCUCGGAACUUCUUCUCAAGGAGUUGCAUGUUCUCCUUUACUUCUCUGAAAUCUUCAAGUCUUACUUCGUCACCAACAACGGUUGAGUCGACAGUCUGAUACAUGUGAUGUUGAUCUUCGAAGUGCGGAAUGUGCCUAGCAUAGGCAGCUGGUGGAGCAACGAUAUGGAUGACUGGGCAUGCAUCGGUGUAAACCGGUAAUGGCACGGCUUGUUGGACAUAUUGCCCCAUGUCGUGCAUUACUUCCACUCGAGGGACGAAGUCGUAAGGUAGCCCAUAUGGAGGAAGGGUUGAGGGUAACAUCCUCUGAAGUUGGACUUCCACUGUUGGGCUCGUGGUCUCUGAAAUCACGGUCGAUUGUGGAACCUCAAACCUGAAAGUCAAAGCUUGUAACAUUUCCCUCAUCUGGGACAUGCCCCCUGUAAUACCCCAAAAUUUACCCUUCAUUUUUUGUUGGAAGCAUGGGAUUUUGUUUCACAUUUUAUUAGCAUCAUACUAGGUCAUACUCAUUGCAUACUGCAUCAAUGACUUGGAAAUCAGGGUUUGAUUGAUCACUCCUUAACAGAAGGAGCCCACACAAAGCAAGAUUGAGAAUUGGACUUCAUUUUCCAAGUAUACAAGUCUUAAGGGUCUCAAGGGGGUCCGGGUAUCUUAUUAUGGUCCUCAGUUCAUCAGUGGAGGAUUCAGAGCUCCCAGAGUGUGCAUAUGGAUUUAAACAGAAAUUAGGGUUUCAUGACUACCUGCAACAGGCAAUGUUUGGUUGGAAAUAAGGGGGCUCAUUCAUGUCAUGAUUAUAGAGGCAUCUUGGCCUAGGAAGAUUCACAAUUAUCUCAGAAUGAUCCAUUGGCAAUCAGUGCAAUCAGUUCCUGAUCAUUUUUGCCCUAAACUAGGUUUUGGUGAAACUCAUUUCCAUAGCCCUCCAUAUCUCCACAAGGGUCUACAUACAAAAAAUCAGCUCUCUAUUUGAGCUAGAAGUGCUUCAAUUGAUCAAUGGAAUCGGGAAUCAAACAGUUUGGGAAAAGUCAAUUGUGGGGCCAGAAAAGUCAACUCCUGACAUUUUAAGAGUGGAAUCUCAAAAUUCAUGCCUAAGGGAGCCUACAUGUGAAAUUUGAUCAAGGUUGGAUCAUGGAUUCAUCAUUUAAUCAGGAGUUGCAAAAGUUACUAAAUUUGGAAAUGGUUGACUUUCCAUUUAGGGCAAGUUUUCAUGGUUGUUACACUCACUUUAAGCCUAUUUUCCAUCAAUAUGCAAGCUCCAUUUGAAAAUUUCUCCAACAUGAAAGUUGUUCCUCUUGUUUCAAGCUUUCUAGAGAUAUAAAGUUUGCUCCAUUUGGAUCAAAAUUGAGAAAGUUAUGCUUGGUCAAAGUGAGACAUUAUUUCAGGACACUUAGAAAAUUUUCUAAGUCCAAAAUCUGCAAAAUUUGUCAAGACUUCUUGGCCAGAUUUCUUGCCUUUCAAGGCACCAUUUGAAAAUACUUUCUUCAUAACAAUUGUACCUUUCCAUGUCUUCUUUCACAUACUUUCGGAAUCAUCCCAUUUGGAUCUUUGGUUUGGGAGAUGCACUCAUCUAAAGUUGGUAUCAUAAACUGAAUUUCUAGGCAGCAUUUAGGCCAAACUGGCCCAACCAUUUUGCAGAUGAUGAAACCUGAACUUUAAGGCCACUUUUCACCUUCUUACAUUCAUCAUAUCAACUUGUGUCCAACAUGAAAGAUGUUAAGCUCCAUGAACUCUUCCUACUGUUUGCAUUGCCUUGCCAUUUGGUCAUGUACUCAUCAAGAUACCAAGUCUCAAAGUCACCCUGUUGGAUUGUUUCCUUGCCAAGCCAAGACAACCAAGUCAUGCUGCAAAUCGACUAGCCCACAUGCUUUUCCUCAUUUGGGCAUGUAAUAUUUCUUCCAUUCACUUAAGUUUUGCCAAAACAAGAGAUCUUCUAAUACACCUCACUUUUGUAUCAUAGUGCACAUAACCAAAACCAAACAUUUGCAAGCCCAUUAGACACUUUAGACCUACAUAUUUAAGGCAUUAAACCCUAAUCUGAAGAGGUGGAGGCUGGUAUUUUUGAGCAAAGAGCAAAGGCAAGUGGACAAGGUUGCUUUCCUUCCAUUUCCAUUUCACAAGUUUCUCAAGUAGAAGCAUUGAAACAGCACCUCAUUUCCUUCCAUCCUCUCCAAUACAAAGAGGCAGUGGACCUUACAUCCACUAGGUAAGCAUUUUAUCACUCUCUUCCAUGGCCAUAUUCAUGCUUGCUCAUCAUGUUUUCCAUGCUCAUUCCAUGCUUGUUCAUCAUGUUUACAUGCUUGCUUUAUGUUGUUUCCCAUGUUAACAAUAUGCCAUGCUUGUCUAUGAAGCCCUCACCAUGAGGCAUUGUUAUUGAGCUUGAGUUUAUGCUGUUGUUUUCUGUUGUAUCCGUGUGCAUAUGGCCAUCUUGCUGUCCACUUUUCUUCAUGUUAAGGCCAUUAUUUUCACUGAAAUAAAAUACCAUGAUGUUCUACUCAUUGCAUACUUGAACUUUGCUUUUUAUACCAUGCCAUUUGGUGCACUAAGUUGGUUGCAUUUUGUUGUGGAAGAUGAGAAAAGAUUUACUGUUUUUCGCGUUUUCCUUCGUGCAUGGCGCUAGGGUUUAGUUGGAGAAGAUGAUGAACGCGUGACGCCUUGUUAGCCCUUCGAUCCCUAGCGCAUGAUAUAAUCUUAGCCACCCAGUCUUCUUUUGUCCUGCGGUGCUUAAGUGAUGCCUUGCCCGGUUGAUAUGUAUGUCACAUGUUUUUUUAAAACUUUAUGUUACUUUAUUUAAUGUCACACGCUGAAUAAGUUCAUUUGGACCGGGCUUCCUGCACACUUACUUCCAGCACCCCACACGCCUGGCCCAUGAUCCAUUCACCUUUACUUUCAUUUUUCAUUUUUAAUUCUUAUUUUAUUUUUUCUGUUUUGUUUUUUAAUUCUUAAAAAUAUUUUCUUUAUUCAUUAAAAUACCCAAAAAAUAUUUUUCACAUUCUUGAUGUCUUAUUUAAUUUAUUUUAAUUUUAAUUUUUGUAUUUAUUAAAUUUUAGUAUUUUAUUUUAAUUAUUUAUUCUAAAUGGUUCAUAUUAGCAUACUUUUUUUGUGAUUUUUAUUUUCAUGACUUAAAAUUAUUUUUAACUUUUGAUUUUUCGGAUGAAGGUUGACCAAUGUCUCAUGGUCAACCUGACCUUUUCUUGGAAUUUUAUUUCCCAUUUUAAAUUUAUUUUGGAUUUAUUUUUGACCUAGUUUGUUUGGUUGACUUUUCAUUUGACUUCUGUUUUAUUUCAAUUAAUUUAUACACUAAUUUUCAUUAUUUUUGAAAUAUUUUUGGGGGAUGAUGAUGUCCUGACCCCACCUUAGUUAGUUUAAUUUUUCAUAAUUUUCUUGAUUAAUUUACUAUUUAUUCCAUAUUUUUUAAGUUGACUUGACUUUUCAGUUGACUUUUCUAUGAUUGAUGUUUGACUUAGGGAUUGCUUAGGGAAAUUGAAGAGAUAUUUUAUUCCUCCCUUGUUCAUCUCAUAUGUCAUACAUUAGAGGCUUUUUAUCUUGAUUUUUAUUUGAUCCUUGCAUCAUUUCCCGAUUAAAUUAUUCAGUGAUCCUUUGUGUGCAUAGUUUCAUCUAUCUGAUUCAUCUGUCAUUUGUUAUACUUGUUUCUUUCAUCCAUGCUUCUAUUGUUUGAUUGUUUAACAUGUUUAUACUUCUCAUGCAUUGUCUAAUGCUCCGUUAUUUCAUUCUUUGAUUAUUUGAUUUGAUUAUAUACAUGUUUGCUUAUCUUAUCUGUUUGAUUAAUUGUUGCCUACUUGUACGAUGUAUGAGGCAUAUAUUCUUAUUUGUUUGAUUGCCAUGAACAAUCCCCAUUCAAAACAAAUGUACCCCUCUCCCAUGAAGUGUAUAAUGUUUAUUCUUUCAUUCUUUAUUCAUCUGUUAAUACAAGAAUUAAAACGAACAUCCGAUAAUCAUUUCAAAACAAGAUCAAAACCUCGAUCCAAUCCUCUCCCAUGAAGUGUAUAAUGUUUAUUCUUUCAUUCUUUAUUCAUCUGUUAAUACAAGAAUUAAAACGAACAUCCGAUAAUCAUUUCAAAACAAGAUCAAAACCUCGAUCCAACGUCGAGUAAUCGUUUUCAAAACUUAACAGAACCGACACGUAUUCAUCCAUCCUUUUGUAAGUCGAUUGCUUCAUGCAUCGCUAUUUCUCUUGUAAGUAGAUUGCUUCAUGCAUCGCCAUUUACCUGUAAGUCGAUUGCCUCAGGCAUCACCAUCUACUCUUACCCGUGGUUCCUCUCCUUGCUCCAUCUGUCGACUCUUGUUCCGUUUAGGUGGCACCCAUUAGAUAGAACCCUUUCUAUGAUAACAUAGGUAGGAUUCCCUUAAUCUUUGUAUGAUAACAUAGGUAGUAUUCCCUUUUUCUUUGUAUGAUAACAUAGGUAGAAUUCCCUUAUUCUUUGCAUGCUAACAUUAGGUAGACGUUCCCAUUUGUAAAUCCUAACACAUAGGUCCAUAUUGCAUGACAACUCUAGGACAGAGCUUCCCCAUUUUUAGACCUUCCGUGCGUCUCCGAUCUUGUGGCAUGUCAAUCUGUUCUAUUGCAAAGAGGUAACUGCCUAAGACUCGAUUCAGCGAGCUGCGGCACCUACUGCUAGGACGUUGAACACAUUGCCCACUCUCCUUUGACACAACUGGUGUCCUCCUUUGUAAGUCCAUGUUCAGAUGGCAAUCCUUAACCCCUAGUUAGUCGAACUACAACAACUCUGAUUCUCAUGUUCAGAUGACAUACGUAGGCACGAGAUGCGAUGUCUUGCCGAGUUUUUGAAUGACGACUAAUAACUAAUCCUUGUUUGUUUUCUCCCUCGUUGCGAUUCUUUUCUCUCGCCCUCGUUGCGAUCGAGACCUUCCCUUUCUCUUGCCCUAGUUGCAAUCGAGACCCUUGUUCCCGUAGUUAGCUGAACUACGGUUUGCUCUAAUUCUCAUUCUAGAUGAGAUACGUAGGCAUAAGACGCGAUGUCUUAGCGAGCACAAUCCUCUUUCACCCAUAGGUAGCCGAGCUACGAAGACUCUGAUUCUCAUAUUCAGAUGAGAUACGUAUGCAGUGGAUGCGACAUCCGUGCGAGUCAUUUUUCUUUUGACUUUCUUUUAGUAAAUAGUACCUUAGAUAAACAUACACCCUUUAGACGAGAACAACAAGAGUGGAUCCCGUAGAGUACUACGGAUGUGUAUGGGUGCUAAUACCUUCCCUUCGCAUAAUCGACUCCUAAACCCAAGAUUUGGUUUCGAGACCUUGUCUUUUCCUUUUCUCUUCAGGUUUUCUUCGAUCGUUUCCUUUCCCUCCUUUGGGAUAAAUAACGAACGGUGGCGACUCUUCUGUCUUCUUUUUUUGCCGGUUGUUUCCUCGCAUUUUUUAGGUUGCGACACCCCCCUUGAUCUCGUCUAAUUUAACUCUAACUUGGGCGCUCUCUUGCUCUUGUUCAGUCAUCAUUUGUCUUGCUCGGGCGCGAUUAUUGUACUGGUGUUGAAAAAUCAACGUGAAACUGGGGGAAGAAAGGGCGGAGUGAGACUCUAUUUUGACAAUGUAUGAAUGCAUGUAUGGAUGCAUCUUGUUUGCAAAACUCUUGGUUAGUUUCAGUCAUUCAUUUCAGAAAUGCCACAACCUUGCUCGCAAGUAUUUAAAGCAAUAAAGCAAUAAAACACAAUAAAAUGAAUCCCAAAAGCGAUUUUUCAUUAAUUAAAACAAAGUUCAAAUACAAACGGAAAUUCUUAUGGAUUAUGGGCUUUCGGAACCGUAGCAAGGUCGGUAGUCAGCCCCUCCAACACCGCCUUACAAAACUUAAUGAAAUUAAAGACUUGAUGCAGGGUGUUCUCUGGGCACAUGCACCAAUCAACUUCUUGCAGUUUCUCAGGUAGCUCUCGCAUGACGGAAUUCACAAAUCUGGACAGCCUCAGAAAUUUGCCCUUCCACUCAGUGUAAAGCCCUUGGAGAUCUUGAAUGAUGCGCAAGUCUUCAGCCUUGGUCACCUCUGUAUCCCUAUAGAGGUUUCUCCAAUAUCUGCAUUCACCUAGCAACAUCAUAUAGGCAACAUCCUGAUCCCCACCUUCAAGUGCCUGGAUUCUAGCAUCGGCUUGUUCCAACUGAUAUUUCAGCCGUGUGCAAACUCUUUCUGACUCUUCAGUUCUCAGCUUCCCGGGUUCCAGAGUAUCCUUGUAUUUCUGAAUGGUAUUCUCCAGUUCACGAGUACGAAUCUCAGAAAUCAACUGUGCUUCCCUUUUCAUUUCAAGGGUCAAUUCCAGAGUCUUGUUGAGUUUUUGAAUCCGGAGUAAAGCUCUAUCCAACUCCUCCUCCUUUGACUUUAACACAAAUUUAGUGUUGUAGAGCGCUUGUCCUAACUUUUCUCUCCUUGUCUUAGACUCCCUAGCUCUUUUGUUGGAGAUUUCAAGCUCUUUGUCCUUCCUCUAUUGACCAUCUUUCAAAUUCCCAUUUUCUACCGAGACUCGGCCGAGCUUAAUCCUCAAGUCAGCAUUCUCCAACUCCAACUCCUUAAUAUAGGCAUUAAGCUUCUCCACAUCUUCAGGUAAUAUGGGCUCUAGCUCAGGAACCAACGGAUAGAUAGAAGGAUCAAAUGGAAAAGGGAGUUUAACCAUAUGAACCCUCUCUCUUACCCAACAAGUAUAAGGCUCUUGAGCAAUGACAUUUCUCUUACCCAACUCCUUACCCUUUCUGAUAACUGCUUGCCAAGACCUCUUGAUCUUCUUCACCAUAGGGUGAUCUGCUUCAAUGCUGUGUAAGAUGAAAGGUUCUAAAGCUUCCACUUUUGGAGGGCCAUUCAUAGGGUAACCAUGCUGCCUCAAAGAUAACACGGGGUUAUAGUUGAUGCAACCCUUGGUUCCUAUCAAAGGUACAUUUGGGAAGUCUCUAAUGCUGACAAUAACAUCCUCGGUUUCCCAAUCCCUGAUAUACCACUUAACAUGAUUGGAGGUGAGAGAAGCUAACUUCUGAGAGGGCUUGAGUUCCUUCGAGACAAAAGGGCAUUCUUCGGGCAUAUGAGAUCUGAACCAGGCAUGCAACAGUUGCGCACAACAUAAGAUGGUUCCUCCCUUCUUCUUAUGACAAUCAUGGAGAGCAUAGUGGAGGUAUGCCAGGAGGAACGGUACAGGGUUUCCAGAGAGGAAGAUUCUCACCGCCAGGUGGUCCACAAAAUGGUCAAUAUUUGGGAAGAGAACUAUCCCAUAUACCAACAUGGCUAACACAUCAUAGAAGGCUUCCCAAUUCCCCCCCUUUUCCAUCUUCUUAGCUUGUUCUUCGAAGAACUUCCUAGAAAAACCAUUGAGAACUCCCUUCACAUCCCAAUUGUCCACGACUUCAGAAACCUUCAAACCCAAAGCUAAAGCUAUCCUCUUGGGAGGAAUACCUUCAUCAAACUUUGUAAAUGGGUUAUGAUCCCUCAGGUUCCGGCCUACAAUCCUCUCAAAUUCCUCCAAGGUAGGAGCCAAUUGGAAGUCAGAAAACGUGAAACAACAUAGAGGUGGAUCAAAAAAUUGAGCAAUAGUCACUGCAGUCAUCAUGUCCAUCUUCUCAUUUAGGAUGUCCAAAAUUCUUCCAUAGUCUUGCACAAAGCUAUUGAGUUUGAUUGGUGUUACUUUGGAACUCAACUUCUUCAGGCUGGCAAGGUCCACGUUCUUGUAUUUGAACUGAAAAGUGUUUCUUCUCUCAGGAUUCAUUUUUCUAACAAGUCUUGGAUUCCUGAAAUAACGCGAAACAAACUAAGAGUUUUGCUUUUUAUGCGUAUGCAAUGAAUGGAUGAAUGCAAUGUUUUUUUGGUACAGGUUUAAAGGUCCGGGGUAUGGAUAAAUUUGAUUGCUUUCCAAAACGGGGUUCUCACCGGGUGUGAUCUAGGGUUUGGUUACAAAGGAUCCCCAGAGUCAUUGAUUCACAAGAAUGUUUGACGCUUACGGAAAAUACUUUCCGGUCAUUAACUCCAUCAAGGGAAUCUAUUCUGGGUGAGGUUCUCGCACCGACUCUUACGAAGUAUUCACCUCGAGAGUCCGUACUACGCAACCAUCGACUUGGUUCUAGACAGGGUACUCAGAUUCAUGGAUUCAAAAGAAUGUUUGAUGCUUACGGAAAAUACUUUCUGAUCGUCAACUCCAUCUAGAGAAUCUAUUCUGAGCGAUGUUCUCGUACCAAUUCUUAUGAAGUAUUCACCUCGGGAAUCCAUACUACGCAACCAUCAUUUCUAGUUGGCCAAAGGUUCAAUGUUGUAAAAGGUUCUUAGAGUCAUGGACCCCUUUGAAAUAUUGAAGCUUACGAGGUAUCCACCUCGGGCGACAAUAUUUGCAAAAGGAUCUACUCCGAGUGAGGUUCUCGUACCGACUCUUACGAAGUAUUCAUCUCGGGAGUCUGUACUACUCAACCACCAUCCUAUCUUAUGUCUUUCCAUUCUAGACUCGGGUGUAGAGUCUUUCCCACAUGGUUUGCAAUCAAAUAUCCAAGUACCCAACACAGUGGAACCAAUAUUCAACAAAUAUAUCAAUAUAACAAUAAAGAUAAUAAAAGCGAUAAAUAAGGAAAAGCCACACAAUUAAACAACAAAGGCACACAAACGUCCUAACUAGGCUUGACUUACUUAGGGAACAACGUCCCCAGCAGAGUCGCCAUCUGUCGUGCCUCGGAAAAUGGGGAUACGACCUAGUGAAGCGCAAUCACACGCUCACAAUGAUGGACUGAACAGAGUCGCCACCGAACUUUAUUUAUUCCUAAAAAGGAAAGGGAAAUAUCGAUAAAACCCAAGAAAGAACGACAAUGAUAUUGGUCGUCGCAACCAAAUCAGGGUUCGGGAGUCGAUUACGCAAGGGGAAGGUAUUAGCACCCCUCACGUCCGUUGUACUCAAUGGGAACCGUAAGGUUAGUUGUGCAUAUUAGUGUUAGUUUGAAAUGUUAGGCUUUAAGUUAUUAGGUGGGAAAGAAAGAAUAAAAGAGAGGAGAAUGUUUUUGGAUUUUUGACGAAGGACUAAACCUAAGUUUUUUAUUAGUGGGCCUGACAAGAUUUACAAAUCUUACUCCUACGUAUCUCAAUAGAGAAGUCAAGGUUUACGUAGUUCUGGAUAGAAAAAUGUUUGUUUGUUGGUCGAUUUUAGAGAAAGCUACUUUGUGUCAAUCGACGAAAACAUUGUUGGACUACCCAAAACAGGUGGAGAAACAUUGCCUUGCUUUUUUUUGAAACAAAGUGACUUUCGUUUGAGAAAAGGUUUAAGAGUCAAUCGCACGACGGUGAGAAAAGAAGUUGAUUGGUUUGAUGCGUUGUGAGUAAUGGCGAGAACUUGGAUGGGCGAGAUAUCCAUCUCGAAUCCUAGUCUCAGGAGUGUGUGGUAUCCACCACGUUCCAUUUCCAUCUUAUUUGCAAAAGUAUUUAAUAAGAAUUAAGUGUAGGCGAGGCAUCCACAUCGAAUCUUAAUCUCAGGAGUGCAUGGUAUCCACCAUGUUCCAUUUCCAUCUUUAUUGGAAAAGUGUUAAAUAUGAAUUAAGUAUUUUGAGUUUUAUUAUGAAAAUGGCUUGACAUUGGAUCAAGCAUUGAUGGACGUUUUUGAGAAAUUUGAAUGGAUGUUUGAGAGAAACAGAAUGGAUAGAUUUGGGUGAUAACGAGAGCUAAGAUAGGCGAGACAUCCAUCUUGAACCCUAGUCUCAGGAGUGCGUGGUAUCCACCAUGUUCCUUUUCCAUCUUUAUUGAAAAGGUCAUAAAUAUGAAUUAAGUUUUUUUGAGUUUUUAUUAUGAAAAUGGCUUGACGUUGGAUCAAGCAUUUGAUGAGUGAUUGAGGAAGAUUUGAAUGAAGUGGUUUGAAAGAAAAGGGAUGGGUUUAUUUAUUGAGAAAAUACUUGACGUUGGAUCGAGUCUUACUUUUGAUCUUUUUGAAAAGAAAUUGAUUUUAUUCUUGUGUUAGUAACUAGCUAAACAAUCAAGCAAUAAAGAAAUAAAAACAGUAAAAUUAUUACACAUUAGGGGAGUGGGGGCAUAUUUUGUCGAAUAGGGAUUCAAAGUAAUGAAAUAAUUAAAUUGGAACAAAAUAAUCAACGAGCAAUGCAUGAGUGUAAGUGCAAGAGAACCGUCUCAUUGUAAGAAGGCCCAAGAGUAAGCCAUGUGAAGAAAAUAACAAGUACAACAAGUUAUAUUUACAACACACUUAAAAAUUAAAUCGAAAAAAGUAAAAUUGGGACAUGCACGGAUUAAAAUCGGGAUGCGAGGAUGCAAAUCAAAGUCACAUAACACAAAGACGUGCAAGGCGAAUGGAAAUUGAGAAGCAAGCAAAACCUAGAUAAUUUGCUCAAAGCCGAUUUGCACAUAUUGACAACAAUCGAAAUUUCAUAUGUGAUUAAUCAAAACGUGGCGAAAUACUACCAAUAUAUCAAUAAAAUAAUAAUGGAAUAACAACACAGGAAUUGUUGAAUCCAUAGAUUAAAAAUCGAUGUCUAAUUCAUGAAAAUAAAUCAGGGUCAAACAUAAAAAUCAACAAUUGUUUAAUAUAUAAUAUGAAUAUGAGAAACAUGCAAGUAAAAUAGAAAUUAAGAAAAUGGGUGUCACAAGGUAUCGAACCCACCACCAUGAGGAAGGAAAGACAAAGCUUUCUCCACUUGGCCACAGACGGCCAACUAUUACCUUAACAGCGACCCUACCAUAUAAAUAAAACUCGACAAGAUUGAAUAUAUAAAAAAAAACAGAGAAAGCCAACAUGGCUGUAUCGCUUUGUGAAAGAAAAUAUUCCACUGUAAUCAAUAUAUGGGGGACAUGAAAAGACAAGUUAUCAACAAGUCAUAAAUGCCUGGAGAAUCGUGAAGGAGACGACAUUUGCAACGGUUCAAAAGCCACACACCGCAAAAAAUCACUAUAACUUGGAGAAAUGUAGGAAAGGAAAGCCGAAAAAAAAAAGCACCCGCCUAUCUCUUUUGAAAAAUCCAACCUCUCUUCAAAAAAACUUUCUUUCGUUUUUGAAAAGCACAGGAAAAGAAAACGACAGAAGAGGCAUCAAUGUUGUCAUCCAAAGAUAAACUACUGAAGCCAUAUCCACGACGACAACUUCUAAGAGAAAGCCGGAGUUGGACGAGGAUUACUAUUCUCCCAUCGCUCUAUGGUCACAAAGGAAUACCAAACAAUAUUAUAACACAACAAAGAUCGUAAAUAGGAACUAACCAAAUGCAACGAGAUCGAACAAUUGAUGUAGGUAAUGUCUUGCUGAAUCUCCUCCAAAAUGUUCUUUUUCUUUUGGUUCGUUUGAUAUCAACUUCCGCUCGAUUUUGCCCCUUCAGAGUGUAUUUCUUUUCCUCCGUGUUCUCUUUUUAGGGUUUUUUUUUGCUAUUUCGCCGUCAAAGGAAUUCCUAGGGUUUUUUGGUUGAUUCUCUUUAUAUAUCACUAAUCUCCAUUCUUUCUCUCUGCUGUGUUUCUUCAGAGUAGUGGAGCGUGUUCGUACGGAGGAUGCUUGGGAAAUUUUGUCCUCAUCCCUAGUUGGUGGUCCCUCCUUCAAUUCCUCUCCAUCUCCAAAAACUUCACCGUUGGUAAGAAAAAGUUUCACCACUGUAAACUUACUUAGAUCAAAAUAGGAUGCGUUUUUUUGACUUAAACUGAUUUUUGUGUGUUUGUGUUGCAGCAGCUUCUCUUCUAUUGUUAGUGGUAGACUAUCACUCUAUUGCUACGGGUUAGCCUAAUCGACAUUGCGGAGAAGUUUGCAUUCAGUGUAGCAAUCCUAGAGUAAAAAGGAAGUCCUCCCAAACUUGAUGAGGCCCUGUUUUGGUGUGUUCGUGUGCGGCUAUUACUCUCAGGAUAAAAGUUGUGCAUACUGAAGAAGUGAACCAGAUUCAUUAGCGGCUAAGUAACCUGUGUAAGUGGACUCAAUCGUGCUAGGAAUUCUCAUAUGCUAAGCUUGGACUGGUGCAGGUUUCACUGCAAAUACUUCAUCUUGGCACCUUUUGUAUUAGGAUUGAAAAGGAUCUGAACCUUAUUCUUGUUGAUCAAACGUUUUAUCGUAUCUACUGUCAUGGCAGGUACAUCUAAGAAGUGCUCUGCUUCAGCUUGAAUAUGUUGUCUCCAUUCAGUACUGUCAUUUGGACUUAAAGCAAAGCAGAAUACCUACAAACUCUUACUGUUGUGCAUGUCAAAAAUAAAACAUUUCCAAAGUUGCUGACUCACAUACCAAUCCUUAGCCUUUUAUAGUUUCCUUCAAAUUUACUUUCUGAUGAUCCCUUUUAUUUCUUUGAACAAUUUGAACAUGAUCCUCCCCGCAGCAGACACGUUGAAGUGCGUGUAGGAGGUUGUAAGUUUAAAACCUUUAGGACUUGUAACAAACAUGACAUUGACUGGUGCUUUUUGUAAUAAAACCACGUCAUUUCCUUGGCUGUUUUUAGUCAUGAUGAUACAAGAGAAAAAUCUCUUUGGCAACAGGGUUAGUAGGAGAAAUGCAUAUGUUGUUGCCCUGUUGACGCAUAAGGUUUCGAUAUAGGUUUCAGCGGUUUGCUCUUUCCCAUGUUCCAAAACUUGACAUGAUUGUAGUGGUUAAUGCAAUGCAAUGCUUGUUUUCAGAUGGAGCAAAUUUGAGUUGCUAGAAGAAAGCAGGUUUUGGAUUUUGUUUAUUACUUAAUGCCUGCCAUAAACUUGUGCAGUGUUUUACAAGGUAAUAUUGCAAGACUGCAUUUUUAAGUCGACACGGUAUGCGAACGAUGGUUAUAUUGUAUGCUGCAAACUCGCUUUUUAUGAGUUUUAGAUUUUAAACUUGUGCUUCUUCAUUGGUUUCAGGUGGUACCGUAGCAGCAAACAUUUCAACCUGAAUUUUGGGUGACGGCGGUUGAAAAACGACUGAGCCUGUUGAAAUGCAUUAAAACCCCUGCAGAAAGGAACAAUUCUCCUUUGACGGAUUGCGGAGAGCUUCUCAAAACUGUGAGCACACAUGCCCAUCAGUCUCAUUUUGCCUACUGUAGGAGAUUUCAGGAGCCAAAAACUGCCUUACUAUUUGGUAGAGGAGGAAAACAGGAGAGUGAAGUAGGGAUUGGGGUUUUUGGGGUUUUAGGGUGGGUUGAAUUUGGUUCACAUUCCAUUUGUGUAGAUUUCGUGAAUUCGGAACAUCUUAUGACGUGUAAUGCACAGGACACUUGCUGCUAAAUGAGAAAAUGGUGGUUUUUUGGUAGCGAAACAAAACCUUUUCCUUGUACUCAAUUUCUGCAAAUAGCAUUUUAUUCUUCUUGGAGCGAAUUCGGCUAAUUCCUUUUUCUAAUUUACUCUCUAGGUUUCUGAGUUCCUUACCAUUCAUAUUUCUUAAAGCUUCACCCAUCAUUUGCCUGUUAUGAUUAUGCAAAUUACUGAUUUGCACUCGCCGUUUCGCGGCUUCUUGCUGAUAAUACUGGGCAUUAGUCUCAGAAGCUGAUUUAACACCAGAAGUAUCAGAACAUGCUUUCUUAUACCUCUCAAUAGAAGCUUUCACACUGUUAUUUGCAAAUUCAUAGAGACGACCACGAGU
rnacentral:lncRNA from 1 species